CCUACGGGGUGCAGCAGUGGGGAAUAUUGGACAAUGAGCGAAAGCCUGAUCCAGCCAUGCCGCGUGUGUGAAGAAGGCCUUCGGGUUGUAAAGCACUUUCAGUGGGGAAGAAAGCCUUGGGGCUAAUACCCUCGAGGAAGGACAUCACCCACAGAAGAAGCACCGGCUAACUCCGUGCCAGCAGCCGCGGUAAUACGGAGGGUGCGAGCGUUAAUCGGAAUUACUGGGCGUAAAGCGCGCGUAGGCGGUCUGAUAAGCCGGUUGUGAAAGCCCCGGGCUCAACCUGGGAACGGCAUCCGGAACUGUCAGGCUAGAGUGCAGGAGAGGAAGGUAGAAUUCCCGGUGUAGCGGUGAAAUGCGUAGAGAUCGGGAGGAAUACCAGUGGCGAAGGCGGCCUUCUGGACUGACACUGACGCUGAGGUGCGAAAGCGUGGGUAGCAAACAGGAUUAGAUACCCGAGUAGUC
rnacentral:rRNA from 1 species